rnacentral:tRNA from 1 species
GUCAGAAUGGUGCAGCCGGAUAGCACGCGAGCGUAGGCUUGAGAUCGCAGGUUUGAGUCCUGCUUCUGCCCCCC